CUACGGAGGAUCCGAGCGUUAUCCGGAUUUAUUGGGUUUAAAGGGUGCGCAGGCGGCCAUUUAAGUCAGCGGUUAAAUCGUGGGGCUCAACCCCAUUCUGCCGUUGAUACUGGGUGGCUUGAUUGCGGUCGAGGUUGGCGGAAUUCGUUGUGUAGCGGUGAAAUGCAUAGAUAUGACGAAGAACACCGAUUGCGUAGGCAGCUGACCAGACCGCAAAUGACGCUCAUGCACGAAAGUGCGGGGAUCGAACAGGAUUAGAUACCCUGGUAGUCCGCACAGUAAACGAUGAAUACUUGUUUUCGGCGAUAUAAUGUCGGAGGCAAAGCGAAAGCGAUAAGUAUUCCCCCUGGGGAGUACGCCGGCAACGGUGAAACUCAAAUGAAUUGGCGGGG
rnacentral:rRNA from 1 species